rnacentral:rRNA from 1 species
AUUGAACGCUGGCGGCAUGCUUUACACAUGCAAGUCGAACGGCAGCGCGGGCUUCGGCCUGGCGGCGAGUGGCGAACGGGUGAGUAAUGCAUCGGAACGUGCCCAGUAGUGGGGGAUAGCCCGGCGAAAGUCGGAUUAAUACCGCAUACGACCUGAGGGUGAAAGCGGGGGACCGAAAGGCCUCGCGCUAUUGGAGCGGCCGAUGUCGGAUUAGCUAGUUGGUGGGGUAAAGGCUUACCAAGGCGACGAUCCGUAGCUGGUCUGAGAGGACGACCAGCCACACUGGGACUGAGACACGGCCCAGACUCCUACGGGAGGCAGCAGUGGGGAAUUUUGGACAAUGGGGGCAACCCUGAUCCAGCCAUGCCGCGUGCGGGAAGAAGGCCUUCGGGUUGUAAACCGCUUUUGUUCGGGAAGAAAUCCUCUGGGCUAAUACCCCGGGGGGAUGACGGCACCGGAAGAAUAAGCACCGGCUAACUACGUG